rnacentral:lncRNA from 1 species
AAUACAACCUCUAUUUUCAUGCCAGACAUAAUGAAAUAUACUUUAGAGGUCUGUAUGCUUCAGUUUAUGAGAUUAUAUUCAGGAAAGUGUAAUCCUACCUUUCAUGAUUGAUUUUUGUAUUUUUAAAAUAAAUAUUAUCUUACACAUUUCAUUCAAAAGACACCAUUAUAUUGUUACUACUCAUUAUUAUUUAUAAAAAAAACUAGGGAAUAAAUUACUCGAGAUCUGAUGUGUUUCUCUACAUAAUUAUAUUUUUUCUCAUAUAUCACUAAGUGGUUUAAGCAUUGCCCAAAAAAUUAAAGUACAUUUUAUUUGAAAAAAAUAUCCAUAAUGUUUACUGAUCUAAAAGUCAGCUUUAAUACCCCAUACAACAAUUAUUACCCAAUAGUAUCAAUCACAAAUAAACAAUUAACGACAUGCAUCAUUUUUUUAGGUGUAUUUACAAAAAACUUAAUUCGCACAUCAAGUUUGUAGUUCUUGAUCAUGUUCAAUCAAAACAGUAUUGAUACAGAAUGCCUUUAGAUCCAAUGCCACCGCCAACGUUUUUUGUAAGAACAGUAUAUACCUUUUUUUUUUUAAAUAUUU